UACGGAGGGGGCUAGCGUUGUUCGGAUUUACUGGGCGUAAAGGGUGCGUAGGUGGCGGGGUAAGUCUGGUGUGAAAUCUCCGAGCUCAACUCGGAAAAGCAUUGGAAACUAUCCCGCUAGAGGGUCGGAGGGGAGACUGGAAUUCUCGGUGUAGCAGUGAAAUGCGUAGAUAUCGAGAGGAACACCAGUGGCGAAGGCGAGUCUCUGGACGACUCCUGACACUGAGGCACGAAAGCUAGGGGAGCAAACAGG
rnacentral:rRNA from 1 species